CCUACGGGAGGCAGCAGUGGGGAAUAUUGCACAAUGGGGGAAACCCUGAUGCAGCGACGCCGCGUGAGUGAAGAAGUAAUUCGGUAUGUAAAGCUCUAUCAGCAGGGAAGAAAAUGACGGUACCUGACUAAGAAGCCCCGGCUAACUACGUGCCAGCAGCCGCGGUAAUACGUAGGGGGCAAGCGUUAUCCGGAUUUACUGGGUGUAAAGGGAGCGUAGACGGGGGGGCAAGUCAGGCGGGAAAGGCCGGGGCUUAACCGCGGGACUGCAUUUGAAACUGGGGAGCUAGAGUGCCGGAGAGGGAGGCGGAAUUCCUAGUGUAGCGGUGAAAUGCGUAGAUAUUAGGAGGAACACCAGUGGCGAAGGCGGCCUGCUGGACGAUGACUGACGUUGAGGCUCGAAAGCGUGGGGAGCAAACAGGAUUAGAUACCCUGGUAGUC
rnacentral:rRNA from 1 species